rnacentral:rRNA from 1 species
AGCGGAGCAUGUGGUUUAAUUCGAAGCAACGCGAAGAACCUUACCUAAGCUUGACAUCCCAAUGACAUCUCCUUAAUCGGAGAGUUCCCUUCGGGGACGUUGGUGACAGGUGGUGCAUGGUUGUCGUCAGCUCGUGUCGUGAGAUGUUGGGUUAAGUCCCGCAACGAGCGCAACCCUUGUCUUUAGUUGCCAUCAUUAAGUUGGGCACUCUAGAGAGACUGCCAGGGAUA